CACGUAGGGUGCGAGCGUUGUCCGGAAUUAUUGGGCGUAAAGAGCUCGUAGGCGGUGUGUCGCGUCAGGAGUGAAAACUCGAGGCUUAACCUCGAGCUGUCGGCGGAAACCAUCUGGCUAGAGUCCGGAAGAGGAGAAUGGAAUUCCCGGUGUAGCGGUGAAAUGCGCAGAUAUCGGGAAGAACACCCGUGGCGAAGGCGGUUCUCUGGGACGGUACUGACGCUGAGACGCGAAAGCGUGGGGAGCGAACAGG
rnacentral:rRNA from 1 species